GAUGAAGAACGCAGCGAAAUGCGAUAAGUAGUGUGAAUUGCAGAAUUCAGUGAAUCAUCGAAUCUUUGAACGCACAUUGCGCCCCUUGGUACUCCCUGGGGCAUGCCUGUUCGAGCGUCAUUUACACCCUCAAGCUCAGCUUGGUGUUGGGCGUCUGUCCCGCUUCGUGCGCGGACUCGCCUCAAAUGCAUUGGCAGCGGUCUUGCCAGCUUCUCGCGCAGCACAUUGCGCUUCUAGAGGCUUUGGCGGAUCGGCGUCCAUCAAGUACACCCACAGUUUGACCUCGGAUCAGGUAGGGAUACCCGCUGAACUUAAGCAUAUCAAUAAGCGGAGGA
rnacentral:misc_RNA from 1 species